rnacentral:rRNA from 1 species
CCUACGGGUGGCAGCAGUGGGGAAUAUUGCACAAUGGGGGAAACCCUGAUGCAGCGACGCCGCGUGAGUGAAGAAGUACUUCGUAAUGUAAAGCUCUAUCAGCAGGGAAGAAAAUGACGGUACCUGAGUAAUAAGCACCGGCUAACUACGUGCCAGCAGCCGCGGUAAUACGGAGGGGGCCAGCGUUAUCCGGCUUUACUGGGGUGAAAGGGAGCUUAGACGGCAGUGCAAGUCUGGAGUGAAAGGCGGGGGCUCAACCCCCGGACUGCUCUGGAAACUGUACGGCUGGAGUGCAGGAGAGGUAAGUGGAAUGCCUAGUGUAGCGGUGAAAUGCGUAGAUAUUAGGCGGAACACCAGUGGCGAAGGCAGCUUACUGGACUGUGACUGACGUUGAGGCUCGAAAGCGUGGGGAGCAAACAGGAUUAGAUACCCUAGUAGUC